rnacentral:rRNA from 1 species
CCUACGGGGUGCACCAGUGGGGAAUAUUGCACAAUGGGCGCAAGCCUGAUGCAGCCAUGACGCGUGUGUGAAGAAGGCCUUCAGGUUGUAAAGCACUUUCAGCGGGGAGGAAGGCGGUGAGAUUAAUACUCUCACCGAUUGACGUUACCCGCAGAAGAAGCACCGGCUAACUCCGUGCCAGCAGCCGCGGUAAUACGGAGGGUGCAAGCGUUAAUCGGAAUGACUGGGCGUAAAGCGCACGCAGGCGGUUUGUUAAGUCAGAUGUGAAAUCCCCGAGCUUAACUUGGGAACUGCAUUUGAAACUGGCAAGCUAGAGUCUUGUAGAGGGGGGUAGAAUUCCAGGUGUAGCGGUGAAGUGCGUAGAGAUCUGGAGGAAUACCGGUGGCGAAGGCGGCCCCCUGGACAAAGACUGACGCUCAGGUGCGAAAGCGUGGGAGCAAACAGGAUUAGAUACCCCUGUAGUC